AGCACUGUGCGGUAUCUGCAGCCUGUUGUACCAUCAGCAGGUUUGUUCAAAAGUCAGUGCAAGAGCAAAGUCAGCACAUAGCAUCGUUGGUCUCCUGGCUGCGUGUGCGUGGAGUCUUGGUAGAACUGCUGACACAUCG